rnacentral:rRNA from 1 species
ACACUUUCAGCAACGGAUGUCUGGGUUCCCACAACGAUGAAGAACGCAGCGAAAUGCGAUACGUAAUGCGAAUUGCAUAGAUAGCGAGUCAUCAAAACUUUGAACGCACCUUGCACUUCCUUUUAUCAGGGAGUAUAUCUGUUGGAGUGUCUGUGUUAUCU